UCUUUAAGGUCCCUUCCAACGCAAACUAUUCUAUGAUUCUAUGAAAAAGAUUUUUUUUAUUUUGUACAAUGCUUUUUUUUUUUCCCCCCCUCUGAAACUGCUGAGCCAUGUACUGAUCGUGUUACAUUGCAGUAAACGGCUCUGUUUUGUGGAGAUGUUCUGCUUUUUUAGUGCUCCUAAGGAAGGGAAGAAGUCAAAAAAAAAGUCAGAAGUUUACAUGAUUUUCAGAGGGCUGCCUUUAACACUAGAAAGAAAAUGUUAUGAGCAACUAUGUUUGAGAAAAUGAGCACCCCAACCAGAUCUUGGAGAGAGCUCAUCAUUCCUCAUAUUGUCCUACCCACUGUGACUGAAACAUCAGUCUGUUUUACAGCACAGAAAUAUGCAACUUGGUAUUAUCAGGUCAAAUAGAAAGCUCUUGCUGGGACUGCUGUGAUAGCCUGUACCACUGGGACAAAUGCCUAAUGUAUGGAAGGACACACUAAUAUAUGGCCAGGCAUAUUGUCUUGGAAACAGGAAAAAACUUGGUGGAAAAGCAUAUCAUCCUGUUCUGAAUUUUUCCAACAUAAAAUUUUCCAUACUUUAAUUAUAUACAGCAAGUACACUACAAGGAGGUUUAUAGAUUCAUCUUGUGAUACUUUAUAAAACAAUAAGUUAAGAAAUCCAUAAAGGCAUAAUAAUGUGGGAAAAAAAAACAUUCCGACUUAUAUAUGCAGAGUAUCAGGAUGCAACACUCUAGCUAGUCCCCUCUAGUCUUAAAAUCUGGAGUUUAGCUACUCAAAGAAACAAUUAUGGUUUAGAAACCGUACAGCGGUCAAUUUUUCUUCGUCCAUCCAGAAUAUUUAGGCAGCUUCUUCAGAUGUGGAUGAACCUUUUGUAUAUCUUCUUUAUCAUUGCUCAGUCUCCAUCUGCAAGCUUCUUUAAAGUAAAUUUUCUUGUAAUCAGUAAUGGAAUAGUUAAUAAUUACUGUGUUCUAUUCGUUAUGUAAGUUUUCUCUUUGCUUUCUUUUUUGUCGUAUAACAAAUGUUGUUAUACUAGAAGACACAAUGGAAAUGUGAACAUUUUUGUUUUUCCAUUUCUAACCUUAUUAGUACUGAAUUUGGUUCAGUGAAUUUACUACCAUGGUGAUUCUUGUUCCUUCUUGCUAGGAAAGGUAUUUUUUUUAAUUCAAAAGUUGAAAAAGUUUUCUGAUUGAAACCAGUAAUUGAAAAAAAGAAAUAUAUUUGGUAAUGAAAAAUAUUGCAAAACACAAGUAUUUGGGAAAAAACCCCAAACAAUGGUGGAACAAUAUGAAUAUACUGCAGAAGCCUAAUCUUUAAAUCUUUUAAUAGUAUCUUACCAUGAAGACUCAGUGAUCCUCAGUAUAUACUAGUGAAACAGGCAGAAGGCAAAUAUGUGAAAUAAUUCUUUUGGCCUGAUUAGGAAGCCAGUCUCUCUAAAUUACAACAACAACAAACAAAAAAAAAAAAACAGAAGAAAAAAAAAGCCUCAGCAGCUCUGGGUAUCUCAUCUUCACCCUUGAAAAUGGCCAGAGCUUACCGUUAGAGGCAGAACCUGUGAAACUAAAAGGUUUGCAUCAGACUUUGGAUGUGGACUGUCUCAAUGGACUGUGCUUUGAGUCUUGGUAUUGUCCUAAUAAUGUCUUAUCCCUAGUGUGCUCAUGGAUGCUUCUUUGCCCUUCAGUAUGUAGCCAUUUUAAUUUUAGUUACACAAAGUUUGUAUGAGAAAAUAAGAAGCCCCUUCAGUCUUGAGAGGUUUUUCAAUGUUACAUUUCCCUACUGUCCAGUUAGGUAGUGCUCGAUGUGCAGUGGUGUGAUUUCCAACUGCUGUUGGGCAAGGUGGGAGAAGAGAAAACAUUUUAGACUAAGACUCUAUGAAAAUAUGGUGUCUUGGAAUAUUAUUCUUUAAUUUGAAUGAACAUUCACUUUAGCUAUUUUGUGGAAAGCAUUGAAUAAAUUUGUAUUCUUAUUGAAAGGAAACUAAGGUGAAAUAGAAACAAAUGCAUUGACAAGGAGGUUGAUUAGGUCUGAUCUUUUUAGAGUGAAGGGAGGAAUGCAUACUGACUUCAGUAGGCACUAGGUCAGGCUAUACAUAUUGAUAACACUGAUUGCUAACAUUGAUUUGUUUGCUGUCUUUAAUGUGGAACACUUUCAAGGAUUUUUAGAGUCAUGUUUUUAUUUUUAAUGUCUGCCCUAAUGUUUUUCUAAGAAAUAUUGUCAACUACUUCCCACAAGUUUCCUUUUCAACUUUCUUUAAUUCAUAAUCUAUCUUGGAAGAAUAUCAAAGGAACUAGACAAGCAUUAAGAUUUCACUGUGGGCUCCUAAACCCAAAAAGGUGGUUCUUUUGCCCAGGAGAUUUGUGGUCCAAGUAAGAUGCCUAAAAGCACAUGACAGUGAUCUAUGAGACUUCUAUUGCAAUCCCAAGGGAAUCACACAUUUCAUUACUACUGAACACUAGCAUUAGCUUAACUGCAUUGUGGAAACAAAUCCCAUCUCAUCUGUAGAACACAUGAAUGACCUGUCUGAACAGUUCUUGUAUGUAUUCUGCCCCACUGGAUUACCUAGGGAAGCAAGAAUUUAUUCUACAAAUCACUUUCACAUCAAGUGGUUUUCUGAUUUCUUCUAGGACAUCAGAACAUCAGAUGAGGGGUCUUAAAUUUAAUCACCAUCUGCCCUGGAUUUUAAAGUUCCUUGAGAGCCUAGAAAUGUUUUGCUGGUCUUGAUGAUUGCUUACCAACUCUUUUAGAAAGAAUUAGUUGUGAAUCUUAUGACCCCAAGAGACUACAUCUUUGUACUGCCAAGAUGUGUUUUGUCUUCUUAUCCAUGCUGACCACUGUUGCUUUUCCUGGUAGUCUUCAGCUUCAGAUAACACAAGCCAAAAGUCUCACCAUACUAAGCCAUGGUUGCGCCUGUAUGAAGUCCAAGUUUAUUCAGAACUUGCAGGCCAAAUUUCAAAACCACAAUUAGACUGAGUGAAAUCCGAAAGCAUUGCAAAAAAAGUAACAAAAGUAAUAACAGGAAGCUAUUUCAACUAAUGCUGUAAUUUCUGGUACAGAAGAGAUGCUCUAUUUUUCUCAUCUCAGUUAUCUUCCAGACUAGCUAACCAGGAGGUGGAAGAAGGAUGCACACAGAGCCUAGUUUCAAAUGUUCAGCUCUCUAACCUCCUCAUUCCAGGGAUACUGAGAGUUUUUCUGCUUUCUGUGCAACAAUUUUUUUCUAGCUCGAAUCAUAAAGCAGUGGCAAUUAGGCUUCACUAUUGAACAUUCUCUUCUCCCACUAUUGGGCACCAGCACAGAGUAUGCUAAGCAGAGAAUGAAAAGCCGGAAUUGUCUUGCUACUAAUGGAACAGGCAGGUGGUAACCCCACUUCCAGUUCCUAAUGUGUAAGGGUGAUGGAGAAAGGCUGUAAUCAUCCAAGUCAGAAUAAAGUGCCUUCACACAAACCAAUCUCUGAAUGAUGCAAAAUGAUGGUUGCCUGGCAAUCUUUUUAAGCUUUUGAUACUUCUAAUUUGCUACAUAUCUUUCACAUGGCACCACUCUCAGAUAAUUGCUGUAGCUGGUGCCAUAGAAAGGAAUCUUUAAAUUGUAUAAAUUAUAUGGUUUUGCUGAUGAGAUUGCCUGCUAGCAAUAUUCUUAUUGUCUUGUGAGGAUUCCAGGUUAUUUUUUCAGACUGUGACCAUGACCUGGAAGUCUGGGAGUUAUUGGAUAAGAGUUCUGAUUUUCGACAACAGCCAAACAUAUUGUAUGACAUUAUCAGAUGGCAAAAAUCCACCAUGUUCCUGUAUCACUGGCUGUUCAAGAAGCAAUGCUUACCUCAAGCAGGUGCUGUUAGACUGUAUUUCUGUAAAGAAUAAUAAAAGUUCGUGACCAAACAGUCAGGUUGUGGUCAUAUGUAGAUGGCUAUCUGGACAAUUCUUCAGUUGUCCUACAGAAAAUACCUAGAGCCUUGCUUUAGUCAGUAAAUGUCACCUGAACUACUGUAGCUUUGAAUUUCUCCACCUGCCAAAUGCUGCUAUGGCUGACACACAUACUUUUUAAAAUAAACUUCAUUUUUUCAUUUUGUCUCUUGUCAUAUGCUUCCAUCUCAUUUUCCUUUCUAUUUUGUCAUCCACCUUUCACCUCCUUAUCUCCCUCUUUCCUUUUCGCACACCUCUAUAUUUUAUCCUGUCUUUCUUGUGUUUCACCUUCCCUUUUUCUUAUUUCUACUAUUACAUUCCCUCCCUCUUCUUCCUUUCUACUUAAUACGUUAAUAAAACAUUUGACCGCUUAAAUAUUUUCUAUCUCUGCUCUUCAGGCUUCUGAAUUAUUUCUAAAGUUCUACCAAAACUUAAUUAGCACAUCAAAGAGGAGCUGUCCUCAUUUAGGCAGGUUUUCAGCCUUUCCAGAUUUUUUUUAACACGUUUGACCUAAUUAGAAGGCCCAUUUAAAAUAAUACGUCUACAGAAGCCAGAGGAAAUCAUACAGGUUGUUGCCAGGAUAUUGAACAUGUCUUACACAGAAUUUGAGAAAUAAAAAAAACUCAGAAAUUUUAUUGAAAACAUGUCUUUUAUAAAAAAAUGUAAAGUUUUAGGUGUUGAAAUAAUACUGAUUGUUAGAUAUAAUAACAUCCUGCUUUUAUCAUAAUAGCACUUACUUUCUCUAUGGUCAUUUUUAUGUAAUAAGCAAUAAUUAUGUGUCAAGGCCUGUAAUCACUACACUUUAUGGUAGACUUUAUAAUAGACUUUUAUGAUCUAUUUGCAACAAAACCACUUUUUUCUAUUACAUACAUUUUAUGAGUUCCUCGCUACUAAGCAGGUAAAUUCACUUUCCAUAGGGUCCACAUAAGAACUCUACGUAAUAAAGUAGUGAGUACUAUGAUUUCCCUCUGGUAAACAUAAGUUGUUACAAACUCCAGCUAUUAAGUCUUUGUAUGUAAGCUUCUGCUACAGAUGCUUGUUAUUUUAACUCUAGGUUUAACUGUGUGACCAGUAGAUAAUCAGUUCUUCAUGUCUGUUCCAGCCCUGUUUCUGAGAUGGUGAGUCUGCAGUUGUUAAAUGUUUGUUAGCGUUAAGACUGGCAGUAAAGUGAAACUUUUUUAACAAUCACUUUUAUUAAUCAGUAAAAUUCAGAACUGCAUGGGAAUUGCAAUCACUACUAUACGUCCUUCUGAAAUGCAGAGGGAUACUCAGGCUGACAGUCAUAGCUUGUUUAGCACAAAGAAAGAGUUAUUCUGCAGUGAGGAAGCUCUCUGUUGUGUAUCAUGUAAGAGAUCAGCACAUUCGGGAUCUCCUGUUCUCAAAAUUACAGGAAGCAACUUCUGCUGGCUUAAUUCUCUUGACUUGGCUGGAGUCAAAUGAGCAGAGAAUUUAUUACUGCAUCCAGCUUCCUUAAUCACUAGGAGUGUGCAGAUGGCUCAAAGGUAUGUAUUAAAACUCCACAGCAUAUCUUUAGUGUAUAAAUAAGAUAGGCUGCUGUGAGACUAAAGUACUUUACCUGGUCCCUUCUUCUGCAACUCCACAGGGAAGUAAGGAUUCUAGCUUGCAUAUUUGCAAGUCUCUGAGAAAACAACUUUGAAAACCCAUAUUUUUCAGACCUAUUUUAGUCUCUGCCUAGGAUUCAUUUGACUCUGCUAUAAGAAAAAAGUAAAAAAGACAUUUAUUUGUUUGUUUGUUUGUUUGUUUUUAAUGAACAGUUCUGUAGCUGGAAAGGCUGGGAACCAAAGGUUGGCUGUGGGAGAAGGUUAGAACCAACUGCAAACACUAACUUUGACUAAGAUACAGCCAGGGUGUGUUUAAUAAAGAAUGCUUUAAGAAGGUCACAUUCAGAAGAAAGAUACCCUAUGCUGUGCGUGGGUUCAUAGCUAAUUUAUCUGCAUGGCAAAUAUGGACUUCGAAUAUAGGGACAUUAUGAAGUUACAAUGCAUGUUACUUUCAGUGGUCACAGUAGGAUCUCUUGCAUCUUUCAAUGUGACAGAUCAAUAAAUCAGAGAUUGAAAAAGCCUCACUGAAUAUGUUUCUUGGCUCUGGUUCAUUUUCUCAUGAAGUUCUUGGGCAUCUGUUUACUGCCUCCGACUCAAGGGGGAGCAGACCACUAACAUGAAACAGAGCAUUUUCAUGCCAAGUAGCCUGAAACCAAAUAGCUCUGGAUUAUGUAUGUUAUUCACAAGUAGAAUACUGAUUUCUUGGAUGGUAAAAUCUGACAGAAAUGGGCCUUCAUUGGACUGGAGCCUGCAGGUAUAACACUAAUUUAAGUGUGCAAUAAUCCAUUUCAAGAUGACAUUUAAAGUCUUGGGGAACUUAUAACAUAAAUUUGGUUCUUACCAGAGUUUCCUAGCUCUUUUUUUCACAUGAUGGCUGUUGCAAUGCCUUUUCUGACUAAGGAAACCUCUCCACGAAUGGCUGCUUCUUGGUAACCUCAGGUUUUAUCUGUGAUCGCUGAGCUUUCUCCAUGUAUUUCAGGAUGCAAACCAGUAAGUUUCAGUUGCUAUAAUAAAGCAACUACUGAUAAGUGGCUGCAGCUGUCUGUCCCAAGGUUCGAAGACAUUUAUCUUAUUAUGGUAUGUAAAUUAUCAGCAUUCCCUCUCUUCUUGGCCCCUUAGCACACAUGAGUGAUACAUGAACAAUAUAUUCCCUUUCUGAGCAUCACGCAUGGCAACAGGAGCACUGACAGGAUAAAAAAAAAGAAACAAAACCACAAACAGGCAGUAGGAAUCCUGUAAAUUCUUUAAAACCACCCUCCUAGUUUACUAUACAUCAAUAAAGGCAGUUCCUUUGCUGGAUAGUAGAGUGGCAAAUUUUCCAAGAAGUACAGAGCACAACUAAAUAUCUUUCAUUAAAAAACAUUAAAAUAAAUAGGGGUUUUGGUAUCAUUUUGUGCAGUAGCAGAUUAGCUGUGGGAAGCAACUUAUGUAAGAAAUAAUACUGCGUGUUAUGGGAGCCAUUGAAGUAAGUGAUGCUACUAUUCCAUUAAUUUAAAUGGGAAAUUAGGAUUGUGAUAAACCAUUAACAAACUUUGCUUGCAGCAAUCACACAAGGACGCUGAUUCUAGAGACUAAGAAUCUUGGACUCUUCCAAGCAAAAAAGUAUCUGGGAGACUAAUGAUCAUAUACUGAGUACCCUCAUUUCCCAUUGACUCACCAUCAGCUGGAGGUGCGCAGCAUCCCUCAAUGAAACAUAAAGUAGCUGUAAAGAUGAGACCUUGUAGUUCAGAGAUAUGUUUGGGGCAUAUCUAUGAUUCUACAAGUCUUUUCAGAGGUGAGUCAAGCUAUUUGUGUAGAUUUCCAGGAAUGAAUGUAGCAUGACAGUCCUGGUUGCAGAGGCAUCCUCUUCACUUGCUGGAUUUUAACAAGUGCUAAUUGAGCAAAGUGGUUGUGAUGUUCCAAGAAGAGUUCAAUUUGAAAGUUGCUGUCUUAAAAUACAGUGUGCCUCAUAGAGAGUUAAACUUCAUAGCCAGAAUGAAAAAAACAGAUCCUUCAGUGAUGUGCAGAUGGACUUUGGGAACAGACGGUGGAUAUAACAUCACAAUGGAGAUAGUUCUUAGACAUACUGGACAGGAUUUGUCAUUGCUGGCAACUAAAUCUUGAAUUUCUCCAUAGUGAAUAUAAGACAAUACAAAUGUAUUUAAAUAAUUGAUGCAAUUGAAUGCAUUUUACAAUAACAUUUCUACUAUAUCUUGAUUACUUGUAGUAAAAUGAUAUCCAUAUGCUAGCAGUGCACUGUGCUAGAUGUUAUGCAAAUUGUAAUAAAAAAUUGGUUUCUUUCAUAUAUGCAUUUUUUUUAAAUUGUUUGAACAGGAAAACAGAUUACUCAGAGAGCAAGUGGAAUGUGCCUUCCUGGAAGUAUUUAAAACUCAACUGACAAGGCCCUGUGCAACCUGCUCCCACUUUGAAGCCUUAAGCAGAGGAUCUAGAGGUCCCUUGCAACAUAAAUAUUGUAUGAUGCUGCUCUAUACUCUGAAUUACAGAUAAUUAUACACUGCUAUUAUAAUCCAAAGAACAUAUGAAAAGAUACUGACAAUGUGUUGCACAGGUGUUUGAGCUGUGUAGGAAAAAAAAAGAAGAAUCAUGGUCAGAACUAAUUUUUCUGUUUACCCUGUGAUACUUAUCAUAUUUCUUGACUCCUUUCACAAACUCAGUUCCAGGUAGGCUGCAUUAACUUUUACAGAAUAAACCUCUCAACCACCUCUCAGCUGCAUAUAGAAGGUUUUCCUAUUUGUGUCUUAAACAUGGCAGUAAACUCUUUGUUUUACCAUGUUUAGGUUUCCUUCUUAGGUGGAGAGAAAUGUCCCUGUGACCUCAGAUAAGAGGUUCUCCUGCCAUGUCCCAUAGGUAUUUCUGUGUGUGUUUGCGCUAGUUGGGAGGAUCUGCUCUAUUUGCAUUCCCUUCACAAGAACAGGGAGGCGAGAGCAGAGAAACAUCAGAUGAUUAGGGACAUUUUGGAUUUGAAAUUGUUAUAUCUCCCAGAUAUGAUACCAAUAACAUUAGUUCUGUUUCUGUACCUGACAGGUAUUUGGUACUGAAUUCAGCCAGGAAAUUACUGUACAAUGCUUUGAAAAAAUUGCACUCUAAAUAUCUUUCAGACUAUCAGGCUAGUUUUGUGUUAGUGCUAUAAAUUCAUUUUUCUGGACUGUUGAGAAAGAAGCAGAAAGUAGGGGUAAUGUGAGAAAAAAAAAGUAAUGAAAACCCUGCCACCACUCCUCAAACCAACUAUUUUGUUUUAGAUUGACAGAACACUGUUUUACCAUUAUUUUCUUCCAUUGCUUUGGGGAAUAGAAAAUCAGCUUUUAAGGCCAGCUGUAGUUUUAAUUGUCUCUGUUGCAAAUUAAUAAAAACUCUACAAAGUUAUUCUUUCUAGCAACUUUCUCUCCUGGAGUACAGCUGGAACAGCCCUUUUCUCAAGUGGGUCUGCAAGUCAAACAGUUGCAAUAGAAGAUGUAGAAGCUUAUACCCAUUCACCAUUACUAAGAGGAGACUCCAGAGCUCCCUACGCAUUUCCCUGCCUCCAACAGAUAUACAGAUGUGAAGUAUGAUGUUAUGUCUACUCAAGGUCACUAGAAGCUAUGGGCUUCACACUGUCCCUGGUUCAGCUUUAUAGUAGUGCACCUCAUGCCUAUUUUAUACCAGUGGAGAGUCCAUAUCCUCUCAGGGUUAUGAUAUAGUUAAAGUUGCUUAAAUUUGCAAAUAUGAAAUUAUUUUAAUGUUGUCUUUUCACUGUUUCUCAAAAUAUUCCUCUUAAUCACUUGCUUCAUGACAAAAGUGACAAUAAGUAUAUUUUAUUCCAUAUAGAAGGGAAUUUAUGGUUCCUGCAGGUCUACAACAGGUGGCCAAAGUUUGCCAAAAUGCUGACAAAUGCAUUAGUUAGACUGGAACCCAAGUUGUCUGCAAACACUACUUCUUUGCUAUUAUUUGUCAUGGCCGUGGGUGGGGGUUUUUUUAUGCUUUGAUGCAUUACAGAAAGAGCAAAGCUGAAGAAAACAAUGGAAAACUCUUACUGGAGAUUAAAAUUGCAUUCGUGCACUUCUUUAAGUUUCCCUAUCGUACACCCAAACAAAAGUAGAAGAGUUUACAGGAAAUGCUUCUUGCCAGGGCUUAGCUAUUAAAAUUAAUGGGACUGUAAUACCAUUCAGCUGCUUCAAAAUGGAAUUUAUCUUAUCAUACUCUUUAGGUGUAAAGAAAUGUAUCAGGCAGAAUAUGUCUUCCAAAGGCUUCUAUUGUAUUAAAUGUGGUGUUCAUUAUUUUUCCUAGACAAGUUUAUUUUAGAAAAAGAAAAUGAAUACAAAUGGGCUAUUGAAAGUCAUUUGUGAAUUCACUCAAUAUUUUCAAAGGACAAGAAAAAUGUCAUGGCCAUGGCCAGAUAAAAUGGAUAUCUUUAAUAAUACAGAGAUGGUUAUACAAUACAGGCUGACCUCUUUCCUGUUCCUUACUACAAUUUGCCAAGUUGCUGAGGACCUGCAUUGUGGCUUUCUAACUCUUCUUAGCUGUAGAGCAUGACUCCUUUCUUCAGAAGUGCAUUUCAGAUUCUGGUCGGCACAACACAGCUUUCAUUUUCACACUUUUUAUACAGGCAGGUAAGGUAGGGAGGGGGUGGGAGUUGUGUCUGUCACCUCAGUUUGAGGUUUGGUAGGAGAGGAUGGUGAAUACCUCCUGGGCUGGAGGACAGCAGCUAGCUAUUUGAUUCCUGGGAGAAGAUGGAUGAUAGAUGCCUAAGCCUUCCGCUCCACGCAGCUCCCAUGCUUGCUUACAGUUUAAAAUGCAUUCUGUCACAGAUGCAGUACAACAUAAAGCUGCAAAAACGAGGCAUGGGGGAAAUAAGAGGAAUGAGGAAACAUUGAGAUUGUCAGAAAAUGGCAAAUGUCAAUUUGCUGCAGGCAUUUCAUCCAGUUAAGAUGUUUGCGUGAUUCUGUGGGAAUAAACAAGAAUUUGGGUCCUAGUCAUACAAUACAAAGAGUGUAAAGAUGGUUCCUGUAUGUUAGAACUUAGUGUGGGGCCUGCUUUGUGACACUGGGUGUGAAAAGCUCUGCUUCAGCAUAAACCUCUCUAGCAAUUCUCAGUUGUGCGUAGCCUUGAGAGGUGCAAUGGCAGAACUGCAUAAAUAACAAAUUUGUUGGUUCAGGGCCAAAAAGGUAAAGAAGAAACACUAGUUUCUAUCAAUCAGACUUCCAUCCCCACCACCCUCCCCUCUCUUUUUAAUUUUUUUUGUCACUGAACAGAACAGGUCAAGUGUAACAAAGUCUAAGGAACGAGGACAUCAAUUCACAACAUCAGUGAAGGGGACAUGUGCCUUUGUAGUGCUGCAGUGUAAAAAAAAAGCCCCACAUUCAAAGCACUUCAGUAUUUAAAAGCAUCUCCUUUAGUCCUCCCCUCCCAGAAGAACAGCUCUAACACAAUACUACUGCACAUCCUGUUAAGGCUGUUCUUAUCAGGCUGUUCUUAUCUUCUGUGAGACAUGUCCCAUUAGAUGUAACAGGCACCCUCAACUGCUGAAGCAAGAUUUGGAACUCACAUAUCAUUCCUUUAAGGUAUGUAUCAAAUUCAGAGCUGCAGGACAUGCAUACGUACAGCUAUAUAACGCACACACGUACACCCACAGACUUCCUGUGCAACAUUACAAGCCACUCAGGAGCUGGGGCUCCUUCAGUCUCUCUUGCUGAUGAACAGAUAUUUAUUGGGUCAUGGAAAAAGGUGAUGGCUAGGCAAUAUGUGGAAGAUACCUACUUUCUAGUUACUGCUUGGGCAAAUGGAAAUCUGUUUCGUCAAAGUGGAACAGUUUCAACAAAGAUAUCUCAAUAUUAGUCUCACCCUUUCUCCUGAAAAAUUCAAUAAAGAGUGGUUUGAAACUGCUCAGUACUUUUGGUUGGAAAGCUUCUUAGACACCAGCCUCCAGGCUUAUCUUCCUUUAACUGUGCCACUUCCCAAUACUGCUGUUAGAAAAGUGUUCUUAGGCUAUCCAAACAGCCUUAUUUAUGGACCUCUUAUAUUUGACAGAAAUCUUUUUGUUACACAUUUCCUAUGUAUUUGACUUCCUUUUGAGUGAUGGUGC